CCUUAAAGAACCUGCCUUUGUAGUGCUCACACAGAUUGUCUGAUGAAAGUAGAGAAGCAAGGCGUCUUGCGAUUGAGACUUCAGUGUCCCCUUCGUCUAGAGGCCCAGGACACCGCCCUUUCACGGCGGUAACAGGGGUUCGAAUCCCCUAGGGGACGCCACUUGCUGGUUCGUGAGUGAAAGACGCGUGCCGAACUAUCUCAAAACUCAUCUUCGGGUGACGUUUGAGAUAUUUGCUCUUUAAAAAUCUGGAUCAAGCUGAAAAUUGAAACGACACACAGUUAAUGUGUGUUCGAGUCUCUCAAAUUUUCGCGACACGAUGAUGUUUUACGAAACAUCUUCGGGUUGUGA
rnacentral:misc_RNA from 1 species